rnacentral:lncRNA from 10 species
ACGCUUCCCCACUGAGGGAAGACCAUGUGACUAUACAACAGGAAGGUAGUUGUUUACAAGCCAGGAAGAGAGCCCUCACCAGAAACCAAAUUGGCUGGCGCCUUGAUCAUGGACUCCUGGGCUCCGGAACUGUAAGAAAAUUUGUGUUGUGGAAGCCACCCAGCCCAUGGUAUUUCGUUAUGGCAGCCUGAGCAGAGGUGGUAGCUAUGUGGACAGUUUUUGGACUUCUCUAUUGUAACACAGGAGGCAACACAGAUUCUUCAAGUCUCACAGCUACUCCCUAGGGAUCACUGGGGAACUUGGAAAAAAUCUAUUGGCUCAGCUAGUGAGCGAUCACUUCCUGUACCACUGUUCUGAGGGCGGACUUCCAGCUCAGGAUCAUGCGAGGGCAUUUUAUGAGAAAACAGAAGCAAAGGCAGAAAGAUGCUACAUUGCCAGCUUUGAAGAUGGAGGGAAGAGGUCACAAACCAAGGAAGGCAAUGAGGACGUUGCACAAGACAGUCCCUGAUACCCAGAGUUUACUGCCUAAGAGAGGAUACAUCCUUCAAACCAAUAAUCUGCUAAUAGCAAGAUCCAAUAGCUUCAUGGAUAUUGAAAGAAACUGAGAAUCAAAUUUGCAUACUUCUGAGUCACUUGGAAACAAAAAACAAGUACAGUCUUAGAUUCUGAGGGAACAAAAAUUAAAAAUCACAUUAGGAAGAGAAUUCCUAAUGUAGGAACUCAUCCUGGAAGAUUCUUCAGCAAAAGUACAGACAAUAAUAAUAAUACUCCAUGAAGUUACCAUCGAUAUUGAAUGAAUUAAUGAAUGUAAAAACCUCAAAACCCUGCCUGGCCCAGAGCUUUGGAAUGGGUUUGGAUCUACCACUCAACUGCUUUAUGACUUCAGACCAGUUAUUUAAAUUCCCUGAAGCUCAGUUUCCACAUCUUUGAGUUUUUAUUAAUGACCUGCCGACAUCAUACAGUUCAUGAAAUGCUCUGGAUGUGUACAUGCUGAUGAUACGACCUCAGACCCAGCAAGAGCUCAGUGCAGCCCGGAGAGCUGUGAGCAGUGCCACAGGAGGAGAUGACUGGUGAGUGAAAUAAGCAAGAUAGGAGUUGAAGUGUACAUGAAGCAGAGUCCAAGCCUUCUCCUUCUGGAUGUUCAGCUGGAUCAUCCUGACUGCUCCCACUUUCAUCUUGGCUUUCAAAGGCAAGAGGAAAUUAUAAGGAAUAUUCUGAGUGGCUUUCAUCCAGGAGUUCUGUGGGACCCGCAACACCUGGAUGGUAGAUGCAAACAGAUAAAGAAUAUUGGUCACCAAAAGGAGUUCUUUUCAUCAUAGAUCUCUGAAGGUAGACACCUAUUUGCAGACUUCUCAAAGGGCUAUAUGGAUGUGCUCUACUUGUUGGAGGAUUGUCCAUCCACUCUUCUUCCUGUACUUACCAGGACAGAACAGCCGCAACUUCUCAGACAGUUCAUUCUUCUUUUCCUCACCUACUACCAUCUAAGAAAGGUACUUGAUGACUGUGGCUUUAGACAAGAGUCCUUUUCUUACCACAGGGUGGGCAGCACCAGCUCAUUAGAACCAUUUGUGUGACUGACUGAAGACAGCUCACCUUGGAACACUGCAGGACCCUAAGAGGAUGGAGGUGGAGUUUUUCUGCUCCUACACCUGGAUAGGCAAGACCAACCACUUACCAGAUGGGGAAUCUUCCAGUGCUAAUAGUUCAGACUGUGCAUACAAGAAACUGAGAGAAGGACCAGUACUGUUUUGUGGUUGCAGGUUGUUCCAUGAUGAGAAUAGGGCCAACCAUAAUGGGAGUAGGCUGGCAGAGACUUACUUGUCUAGUCAUGGGCUUUAUGGCAAAUGUCUCUAACACUUACCACCCAAAGCUAUGCUUAUGGUGUUGCAGUCAACAUCUUACUUUAUGAACUUAUAAUCUAUACUGAUGUUUAUUGUUACUAUGUUUUCCUGUUUACCUGAGAGGGGCCACACCCAAAAGGAGUGUCCUAGAGGUGGAAACAUGUACUACAUGUUCUAUUAUAG